CUAUACAUGCAGUCGAGCGGACAGAUGGGAGCUUGCUCCCUGAUGUUAGCGGCGGACGGGUGAGUAACACGUGGGUAACCUGCCUGUAAGACUGGGAUAACUCCGGGAAACCGGGGCUAAUACCGGAUGCUUGUUUGAACCGCAUGGUUCAAACAUAAAAGGUGGCUUCGGCUACCACUUACAGAUGGACCCGCGGCGCAUUAGCUAGUUGGUGAGGUAACGGCUCACCAAGGCGACGAUGCGUAGCCGACCUGAGAGGGUGAUCGGCCACACUGGGACUGAGACACGGCCCAGACUCCUACGGGAGGCAGCAGUAGGGAAUCUUCCGCAAUGGACGAAAGUCUGACGGAGCAACGCCGCGUGAGUGAUGAAGGUUUUCGGAUCGUAAAGCUCUGUUGUUAGGGAAGAACAAGUGCCGUUCAAAUAGGGCGGCACCUUGACGGUACCUAACCAGAAAGCCACGGCUAACUACGUGCCAGCAGCCGCGGUAAUACGUAGGUGGCAAGCGUUGUCCGGAAUUAUUGGGCGUAAAGGGCUCGCAGGCGGUUUCUUAAGUCUGAUGUGAAAGCCCCCGGCUCAACCGGGGAGGGUCAUUGGAAACUGGGGAACUUGAGUGCAGAAGAGGAGAGUGGAAUUCCACGUGUAGCGGUGAAAUGCGUAGAGAUGUGGAGGAACACCAGUGGCGAAGGCGACUCUCUGGUCUGUAACUGACGCUGAGGAGCGAAAGCGUGGGGAGCGAACAGGAUUAGAUACCCUGGUAGUCCACGCCGUAAACGAUGAGUGCUAAGUGUUAAGGGGGUUUCCGCCCCUUAGUGCUGCAGCUAACGCAUUAAGCACUCCGCCUGGGGGAGUACGGUCGCAAGACUGAAACUCAAAGGAAUUGACGGGGGCCCGCACAAGC
rnacentral:rRNA from 1 species